GUCCUGGAGGGACGUUUACUGAACAGCUCUGCCUCGGAGUCCUUUGCUGGAGGCUGAGCUGGUAAGCCCAGUUGGUUGUGGCUGGUUGAGUCCCAAAGAGGCCACUUUGAACUUUAUGCCUCGAAAAAGUAGAGACUACCCCUGUGGCCCUGGCCACUCUCUCCAGUAUCCUGCCUGGCCUGACCCUGUCGGCAGAGCACAUUGCCCGAGGUUGGGCAGGGGGUGGGGGACUGUCCAGAGACUCAGCAGCGUAGGGAGUAGCACCCCAGCUUCUAGGCCUUUCAUUAGUCCAGCGGAAGCUCUGGCCACAGGCACGGAGCUCGGGCAGCCGCGUAUCUUGGUAUUUUUCUUCCUUUCUUAGGAAAAAAUGAUGAGAAGACUCGAGAGCCCUCUCACACACGAUUUCAGGUCAUAGUAAGAGGACCUCAGGAGAAUCGAUUCUGUUAUCACAGAAGUAAGAGCAGGUACUGCCCCUGCCCUGCCUUGACUCCAACCGCCACCGGCCACAUCCAUCAUGCCUGCAGGAAGGAGAUGGCAGCCCUGGGACCUGGCACCAUGGCACAGAGGAAGGUCUGCAGCUGGGUCAGGAAACUGAGGGUCCUUGGGGGACAGACAAGGACAGGCUGGGCUCCCAGCCACCCCAAUAGGCUCAUUUACGAACCCACAAGACAGAACCCUGUAAGUUGUUAACUCAUGAAAAAGACACUUCUAAGGGGUGACAGCCGGGCUCUGCCGUCCACUGACCUGUGUUCCCGUAGGGAGCUGAUAGCUGGUUCUUUGCUUACAACAAGAACUUUGAUUUUACCCAAGGACUUGAUCUGGGUUGGCUUUGCAGAACGACCUGCAGCUUCAGUCAGUAAAGGGAUUUGAUCUUCAAAACCAGAUAUGAG
rnacentral:lncRNA from 1 species